UACGGGGGGGGGCAAGCGUUGUUCGGAAUUACUGGGCGUAAAGGGCUCGUAGGCGGCCAACUAAGUCAUACGUGAAAUCCCUCGGCUUAACCGGGGAACUGCGUCUGAUACUGGAUGGCUUGAGUUUGGGAGAGGGAUGCGGAAUUCCAGGUGUAGCGGUGAAAUGCGUAGAUAUCUGGAGGAACACCGGUGGCGAAGGCGGCAUCCUGGACCGGCAUUGACGCUGAGGCGCGAAAAGCCAGGGGGAGCAAACGGG
rnacentral:rRNA from 1 species